rnacentral:piRNA from 1 species
UGGGAUUAUAGCAUAUACAACUCGUGG